GACGAACGCUGGCGGCGUGCCUAAUACAUGCAAGUAGAACGCUGAAGAGAGGAGCUUGCUCUUCUUGGAUGAGUUGCGAACGGGUGAGUAACGCGUAGGUAACCUGCCUGGUAGCGGGGGAUAACUAUUGGAAACGAUAGCUAAUACCGCAUAAAAUUGAUUAUUGCAUGAUAAUUAAUUGAAAGAUGCAACUGCAUCACUACCAGAUGGACCUGCGUUGUAUUAGCUAGUUGGUGAGGUAACGGCUCACCAAGGCGACGAUACAUAGCCGACCUGAGAGGGUGAUCGGCCACACUGGGACUGAGACACGGCCCAGACUCCUACGGGAGGCAGCAGUAGGGAAUCUUCGGCAAUGGGGGAACCCUGACCGAGCAACGCCGCGUGAGUGAAGAAGGUUGUCGGAUCGUAAAGCUCUGUUGUAAGAGAAGAACGGGUGUGAGAGUGGAAAGUUCACACUGUGACGGUAUCUUACCAGAAAGGGACGGCUAACUACGUG
rnacentral:rRNA from 1 species